ACAAAGCUUCUUGAAAUGCUUUGCCUGAAGGUCAAACUUCUUGCCUUAGCCAGUGAGUCAAAGCUGGAAAACCAUCUGAAACAAGAACUCGAAGCAGAGGUCAAGACUCUUGCUUACCUAGAACCAUAGGUAAGACACAAGCUGGUCAAUGGAAGGAAACAAUGCCAGACAAAGAUUCCAAGACCAGGGAGUCACGUGGGCAGCGUCUCACAUCUGUGAUGACACGGAAAGCCUGAUCUUGAGGCUAAUCCCAAGAUGCAAAUUAUCUGGAUGAGGGGUGGGUGUGCUGCAUGGAUGUAAUGGCGGCUUUAGAGGCUAGAGCUGACUGACUAAGAAGAGGACGGUGUGCAGACAAGCUCUCAC
rnacentral:lncRNA from 1 species